UUCACUAAAGCAGUGAAGCACUUUGGGGAAGAGGCUGGCAAAAUCCAGCCAGAUGAGUUCUUUGGGAUCUUUGAUCAGUUUCUUCAGGCUGUGACAGAAGCGAAACAGGAAAAUGAGAACAUGAGGAAAAGGAAGGAGGAGGAGGAGCGGAGGGCUCGCCUGGAAGCUCAGGUGAGAGGGGCUCCCUCAGCAGGCCCUCCUGGCAGGUCUGCCUCAGUGUCUCAGUGGGUCGUCUUUAGACAGGUGCUCCAGCAUCCAGCUGUGACCCAGCCUCAGCCCUGUGUUUCCUCAGCACUUUCAGGGAGAGGAAAAUCAAGCGUUGUCGACUGCCACAGGUAGCUCAGACUAAGCACGACACAGUCCCCUUGAGCAGCUUCUUUCGGAAGGCUGAAAGAGUCGAUCGCAUCCUGAGAGUUUAUCUCCUUAGAAAUAAUUGUCCUUCAAUAAACGAUCAUAAAUUUGCAAAAGGACAUUAACAACCUUUAUAAAAGCCAUAAAUUAUCUAUUUACUGCCUCAAAUGCUUUAAAAACAAAACAAACAAAC
rnacentral:lncRNA from 1 species